UUUUAUUUUGAUAUUAUUUUUUAUUGUUGAAAAAAUUAAUAAUAAUUUAUUGUUAAUAAAAAUUAAAAUUUAUAAUAUUUUUAUUUUUAUUUUUUAGUUUUAAAUAAAAAAAAUAAAAUUUAUAUAUAUAAAAAUUUUGUUAUAAAUUAUAAUAGUUUAUUUAUUUGUUUUUUAUAAUAAAUAAUAGUAUUUUUUUUAUUAUUUUAUAAAAAAAAAUAAUUUAAUUAUAAUUAUUAAAAGUAAUUUUGUUAUUUAGAAUAAUAUAUUAAUAUAAAUAACAAAAAUAUUAAAUAUUUUUUAAAUUUUUUGGGGAUUUAAGUUAUAAUUUUUUGUGUCUGCUCAAUGAAUUUAAAUAGCACUUUUAGCGUGUAG
rnacentral:rRNA from 1 species